ACACGAGGCAUUUUAUUCGCGGACGACGCGACGUGACACGGUUUUCGAAAAUCCGCAGAGAGAAAUGGGAAAUCGAAGACGAGCGUUAUAAAUACAUGCGAGGGAAGAGCGAUGCCAAAAAUUCGAAACGGGCCGAGGGUAAGAGGCAACGAGCGCGUAUAUCCUGGAUAAAGUCCUUCGCCGGAUUCCGAUAUUCUUUUCCGCGCACGUAUGACGACAUGACGUCGGUGCACCAAAUUGAAUUCGACUGUGAAUUCCUUGCUGGGUUCACGUCUCUGCAGACGUGAAAUAUCGACGGCGAGAAUCGCGGCCGCGUCGCGUCGUGCCAACAAGCAUUUGCAAUUAUCAGACUGCGGGUCUUUAUGUAAAAUCAAACUUCUGUUUUAAGCAAUGUGAUUCUCUAAUAGUUCCUUCGUCUCUUUAGAAAAGUUCGUAAAAUCUACUCGUACACCUCGCCUGUGACUUUACUUUGAAUUAUGCUCGUCUUUAAUCGUGACGCAACAACAGUACACUUUUUAUAUUACGAUAAAUAGAUCUUUCAUGCAUUUUUACAACGUUUAAAUAUCACGAGGACGAGACAAAGCAGUAAGUAACGCGUGGGAACCAUGCCGCCUCGCGGUGCUCCAAUCGAGGAGGCAUUCCUCUCGAACGCGUUCGCGACUCCUCGAUCGAAAUACUUUGGGGCUGCUGCAGGAACUUUAUAAAUAAUUCAUCUACCUUUAACGAUCCUCCCAGAUCUAACUCGCUAAUUGCGCGUCAGGGAGUUCUCCGCUCCUCGUCUCGUUAGUUCUUUUUCUUAUCAACGAAUUAUCCUGGCAUUGAGACCGUGAUCGAACACUCAAAUGUCUGUCCCUAUCUUAAAAUCUUUAUGGAGAAAUUUAUAAUUCCUUUAUGGCAAGUCUAAUUCCAGCGAUUUAUAGAAAUCAAAAUACUAAAUCUGUAGACAACAUAAUAUGCAAUAAAUGUAAAAUAUAAA